rnacentral:rRNA from 1 species
AACGAACGCUGGCGGCAGGCUUAACACAUGCAAGUCGAGCGCCCUUUCGGGGGAGCGGCGGACGGGUGAGUAACGCGUGGGAUUAUGACCUUCUCUACGGACUAGCCUCGGGAAACUGAGAGUAAUACCGUAUACGCCCUGUGGGGGGAAGAGUUCUCGGGGAAGGAUUAGCCCGCGUUGGAUUAGGUAGUUGGUGGGGUAGUGGCCUACCAAGCCGACGAUCCAUAGCUGGUUUGAGAGGAUGAUCAGCUACCCUGGGACUGAGACACGGCCCAGACUCCGACGGGAGGCAGCAGGGGGGAAGCAUAGACAAUGGGGGCAACCCUGAUCUAGCCAGGCCGCGGGAGGGAGGAAGGCCGUAGGGUUGUAAAGCUCGUUCAGCUGGGAAGAUAAUGACGGUACCAGCAGAAGAAGCCCCGGCUAACUCCGUG